rnacentral:rRNA from 1 species
UACGUAGGGUGCAAGCGUUAAUCGGAAUUACUGGGCGUAACGCGUGCGCCGGCGGUGAUGUAAGACAGGUGUGAAAUCCCCGGGCUCAACCUGGGAAUUGCAUUUGUGACUGCACGGCUAGAGUGUGUCAGAGGGGGGUAGAAUUCCACGUGUAGCAGUGAAAUGCGUAGAGAUGUGGAGGAAUACCGAUGGCGAAGGCAGCCCCCUGGGAUAACACUGACGCUCAUGCACGAAAGCGUGGGGAGCAAACAGG